rnacentral:lncRNA from 1 species
UGCCUGUGGCUGUCAGCAGCAAGCAGGGAGAAGACACGGAGCUUAGGGGAACCCGUGGGCCACCAUUCUUCUGCAUCCCCCAGCAUGGAAAGCCUGACCAGCAGCCAGCCCAGGGUCUACCCUCUGCUCCUGCCCCAGCUGAAGUCGUACAGCUGUUGCCUCAGUAGAGAGAGGGAUUGGAUUUCACAGGCUGUGUAAUCCGCCACGGCACUCCUUGGCUUGGGGAUAGCAACGAGCCUCACCCAGGGCUCAGCCAUCCCCCUUUCUGCCCGUAGAGGAACGCCCCGCUCGACAUAGAAGGAAAAUUGUUUGCUGAAUAUCUGCACAGCCCUCCUUCCAAUUGCUGGAGAGAGAGGGGGAGUGUGAAAGAGAGAGAGAGUUUAAGGCAAGCUCUGCACUGGUGUUCUGGGCUAUUUCAACUUCGGGGCAACUUUAGAGACUUUCAGUUAUUUUUUGGUUCUGGACGACAGCUGAGACCGGCUGAGCCUCCAGGAGAUGCUGACGCGGAUGCGGAGGAGGAGGAUUCUGUUAAUGACGUGGCAGUAGAAGACAUCCGUCCAAGACCACAAGGAUCCUCUCCAGUUUAUGAAUAUAUAGA